ACUCAAAGGAAUUGACGGGGGCCCGCACAAGCGGAGGAGCAUGUGGUUUAAUUCGAUGAUACGCGAGGAACCUUACCCGGGCUUGAAAGUUAGUGAAUGAUCCAGAGACGGAUCAGUCCUUCGGGACACGAAACUAGGUGCUGCAUGGCUGUCGUCAGCUCGUGCCGUGAGGUGUUGGGUUAAGUCCCGCAACGAGCGCAACCCCUAUGUUUAGUUGCCAGCACAUUAAGGUGGGGACUCUAAACAGACUGCCAGCGUAAGCUGUGAGGAAGGUGGGGACGACGUCAAGUCAUCAUGGCCCUUACGUCCGGGGCUACACACGUGCUACAAUGGACGGUACAGCGGGCAGCUACAUAGCAAUAUGAUGCUAAUCUCUAAAAGCCGUUCACAGUUCGGAUUGAGGUCUGCAACUCGACCUCAUGAAGUUGGAUUCGCUAGUAAUCGCGUAUCAGCAAUGACGCGGUGAAUACGUUCCCGGGCCUUGCACACACCGCCCGU
rnacentral:rRNA from 1 species